rnacentral:rRNA from 1 species
CGCCUCUUGACAAACAUAAGAGGUCCAGCCUGCCCAGUGACAAAGUUCAACGGCCGCGGUACCCUAACCGUGCGAAGGUAGCAUAAUCACUUGUUCUCUAAAUAAGGACUUGUAUCAACGGCACUACGAGGGUUAUACUGUCUCCUUUUUCCAAUCAGUGAAACUGAUCUCCCCGUGAAGAAGCGGGGAUCAAAAUAUAAGACGAGAAGACCCCAUGGAGCUUUAAACUCACUGUACACCUCUAUGUUCCUAUAUCCUUAUAACACAAGAAACCUGUACAUUAGUUUUAGGUUGGGGGGACCACGGAGUACAACUUAACCUCCAUAACAAAUGGGCUAACACCCUUAUCCACGAGACACAACUCUAAGAAUUAAUACACUAAUGCUUAUGACCCGAUAUUCGAUCAAUGAACCAAGUUACCCUGGGGAUAACAGCGCAAUCUACUUCAAGAGCUCAUAUCGACAAGUAGGUUUACGACCUCGAUGUUGGAUCAGGGUAUCCCGGUGGUGCAACCGCUACCAAU